AGGGCCAAUCUGCAGGUUAAUUUAUGGCAGCGGGCACUCUGAUGAUUUGGGAUCAUUUAAGCUCAUUACUACGGCACCUGGUGCCCAGGCUGCCCCAGUAGCUUAACUGGUCAUGUGACUUGAGUGACAUCAUCACCACUUUUCCCCACUUCCUGGAUUAAUGUUUGGUGGCCUACUUUUCCUCCGAAGCCUCUGGCAGAAGAUCCUGAGGAAGCAAAGCAUAAUACCGAUAAAUAUUAGAUCCUUCACUGCACUACUGGUUACAAGGAAAGAGGAAAUAUUCCGUUUUACAGGUUCUUCAUCCACCUCGACCUCACCCCCCAAUCCCCAAACUGUUGGAAGACGGCACAGCGAAAGUGCACAGGCCUGUCUUAUUCUUUGGAGGGAAGCACUUUCUCUUGUCAUUGGCUUUUUCCUUCUAGCCACGAAGAAAUGUACUUUUGCGAAGAACUGGAAAGAGGAUUCUGUGAACUUGUAUGGAGAAGCUGUUGACGGUGAAGGAUGUAACAUUGUGCUGAAAUAACUGGCUGAAAGAAACUCAGGGAAGAAAUAAAAGAGACAUGAGGAGAAGGCUCUCUGCUGGAUAGAAUGACCGAAUCUGGUGGAAGGAGGGUCCUGGGGGCAGUGGGAGGCAGGGUUCUCAAUGAAGUGGGUGCACAGGUUAUUAUCCCAGAGCCAUCCCCAGUCCUUAUUAGCAUCACCUGCUUGUUUCCAGCUCAGAGAUUCAGCUCCACUUUCCUUUGGCAAAGGGAGAGGCAUUUCAAGAUAUUUGGUCCUCAACAUCUGGAAGAGAGAAAACUCUUAAUAUACGGUGUUUUAAGGAAAACUUCAGGAUGCAAGCCAACAAAUAUCAAAGAAGAUAAUGAAGGACCACAGAACCCAGUCGAGUCCAAGCACAUUUAUCUGAGGAGCCAACUCAUAUUGACCUGUUUGUGCCCCUACUCUGCCUCUUGUUCCUGAUGAAGAUAUUAUAGAGAUAAAAGCCAUAAGAAAGAUGACAAACCAUAAUUAGGUGUGUCAUGAACUGAUGUCCAGCUAGCUUCACUUUCGGUUAAAGUCUAGGGUGGACGGUGGGCAUGUUCAAUCAGCAGAUGAAGAUGAGAUCACAACGGCCAAGUUUGGGAUCCUGAAUAAGAGUUGUACUCAGCACAGGAAUUAGGGGUCUUCUAGGGAGCUGAAGAUCUGUUGAAACCUCUGCUGACUUUGGGAUGUAAAUUACAUGCUUCAGGAAUCUCUCUUGUCUCAGUCUUUCAGCUUGAUGCCAUUGCUGCACAGAAGGAAAUCUUUGAAGGAGCAGCUAUAUUAAUAUUAGCCCUGCGCUAACAUCUGCUGCCAAUCCUCUUCUUUUCACUGAGGAAGACUGGCCCUGAGCUAACAUCCAUGCCCAUCUUCCCCCACUUGAUAUGUGGCAUCCCUACCAUAGCAUGGCUUGCCAAGUGGUGCCGCACCCAGUAUUCGAACUGGCGAACACCUAGCCGCCAAAGCAGAACAUGAGAACUUAACCACUGUGCCACUGGGCUGGCCCGAAGUGCUUUUUACAUGUGAAUGUUGUUGUAUAAAUAUUUGCAGGUAUUAUUUUCCUGCUGCAAUUAUACGUAGCGGAUGUUGGAUGUUUUGUCUGCACUGCAUCCCUUCCUCCAUCUAUUGCUAAAGAGUGUUAAAAAUUUCCUUCUGAGGAGCAGCUCUCAUACACUCUGUGUGUCUUGGCUCGACUACCCUGCCCUCCCCUAGCCAUGAGACUUGUCACACUGUAAAUAAAGUCACACUUUAAAUUAAGCAAUACAUCAGGUCCCUAAAUUUUAGGGAUAUAAUUUGUGUGUGUGUGUGUGUGAGGAAGAUUGGCCCUGAGCUAACAUCUGUGCCAAUCUUCCUCUAUUUUAUAUGGGAUGCCACCACAGCAUGGCUUAUCAAGCAGUGCUAGAUCUGUGCCCAGGAUUCAAACCUGUGAACCCUGGGCUCCCACAGUGGAGCACACUAACAUAAUGAAUAUGCCACCCGGCUGGCCCCAGGAAUAUAAUUUUUAACUACCGUCACUUACCUGAUAUAAUCAUUAAAUUUAAAAUUCUGUGCCAUGCUAUCUGUGCUGAAAUUCAAACCACUUUAAAAUGUGACAGCUAAACAUAAUGCAAGCUGGUAACAGUUCUGGUACUAAAAAUUGUGGUGGUUUCUUCUGUUUACGUAACUCUUAGUACUGAAUCCUUUUCCACGAGGAUCUUGUUAAGAAGAGCAGAGUCAUGCUUCACCCUUAACAUCUACACCCUGUGACAUCAGAUUUUGAAGGGCUUUAUGUGAACUGGCAUAUUGUAAUUUUUCUAAGCAUUUAAAAAAAGAUAACAGAAUUGUUAUCUACAGUUUGUUACCUAACAGUUUGUUUAGGUACUAAUUCUGUUCAGAAAAAUAAGCCAGGAAAAGUUGAUGGUAUUCAUCAGGUUUUAACUGAGUGGA
rnacentral:lncRNA from 1 species